CGACUGCCGACGGGAAGAAACUGUUCGUGUGGCGGGAGGUCUUAGUCCUGAUGGACCUCAGCCUCCUGCCAGAUGGAAGGGGCACAAACAGUUUUUGUCCGGGGUGAGAGGGGUCGGCCGCGAUCUUUUUAGCUCGCUUCAGAGACCUGGAAGCGAACAAGUCCUCCAGGGACGGCAGAUUGCAGCCGAUCACCCUCUCUGCAGAGCGGAUGACACGCUGAAGCCUGCCCGCAGAGAAUAUACAAAGAAUAUUUGUAUAUUGUAUUUGAACGUUUGUAAGAGUGACUUCUCACUAACUCCGACCAAGUUAACUACUCAGGCAACAGCACUCGAUAAAAUAUUUGAACCCAGUUAACGCAACUUUGUUUAAGUCUUCCGAAAGUAACCAAAAUUGACCCUGGAAACGAAACCGCCACCAGCUGCAGUAAGUUAGAUCGGAGAAAGCGAGACGCAUUGGAAGUAAAACAAACAGACGCUCGACAUACAGCGGAGAACUGUGCAGAGGAUUUCCUCCACGUGUCAAACAGAAGGGGGAGCCAAAAUGGAGCAUGAGCAAAGAGACCUCAAAAUAUGAAUGAACCUGGACUUGAGCACGCUAGACAUCCACCGAUCCAGCAGCAUCUCGUGGGGGCGGUGAGGAGAGUGUCACCGGGGAUCAAGCGGAUCCAUGUCAGUGUGCCGACACUGUGGAGAAACCGCACUGCUGCGCCUCAACCUCCUCCGAGCAUGUCGGAGGAGGCCCGUCCACCUGUGAGCAGUUUGGGAGUUUCAGUAAAAGAAGCAGUGUGACGACUCAUCAGUGGAUUCACACUGUGAAGCCCUUCAUCUGUGACCAAUGUGGGAGGAGUUUUCGCCAGUAUUCAUCUUGGUCGAAUCAUCAAAGCAUUCACACUGAAAAAUGAAGUGUGGCCUGUGAGUCUCUGGAGUAAAGCGUUAGCCUGGAUUGUUUGCAAGUUCACAUUCAAAUUAAAAUGUUUAUUC
ensembl:lncRNA